rnacentral:snRNA from 1 species
AUCGCUUCUCGGCCUUUUGGCUAAGAUCAAGUGUAGAAUUUUAAUCAAAAAUAGCAUUUAGCAAUUAUGGACUGUUAAAAUUGAAAAUGUCUUCACAUGCUCACCUCAU